CCUACGGGGGGCAGCAGUGAGGAAUAUUGGUCAAUGGGCGCGAGCCUGAACCAGCCAAGUCGCGUGAGGGAUGAAGGUUCUAUGGAUCGUAAACCUCUUUUAUAAGGGAAUAAAGUGUGGGACGUGUCCUAUUUUGUAUGUACCUUAUGAAUAAGGAUCGGCUAACUCCGUGCCAGCAGCCGCGGUAAUACGGAGGAUCCGAGCGUUAUCCGGAUUUAUUGGGUUUAAAGGGUGCGUAGGCGGCCUUUUAAGUCAGCGGUGAAAGUCUGUGGCUCAACCAUAGAAUUGCCGUUGAAACUGGAGGGCUUGAGUAUGUUUGAGGCAGGCGGAAUGCGUGGUGUAGCGGUGAAAUGCAUAGAUAUCACGCAGAACCCCGAUUGCGAAGGCAGCAUACCGGCGCCCGACUGACGCUGAGGCACGAAAGUGCGGGUAUCGAACAGGAUUAGAUACCCGAGUAGUC
rnacentral:rRNA from 1 species